CUGUGUACAUACGUAACCUCUGCUCUAAGCUGGUUGAUUCCUCAUGGUCUUUUGUCUUAAAUAGCCCAUUCUACAUUGGCAUGAUCAUUAUUUAGAAGUUGUUCACAGAAUGGAACUCUGACCCCGGCAGCUAGAGCUCUGUGGACAAAUACUCUGAGGAAACAGAUGGCCACAUUGGGAAUCCUAUUGUAAAACCCUACUUCCUCUUUCCACUUCCAUGGAAACAAUGAGUCGUGAUGUAAGGUUCUCUUCUGUAUAUUAGUAUAGUCCAGGAAGAGCUUCUACUAAAAUACACUGUGAAAGAUUGCAAUAAGCCUCCCACAGCUGUGUGAAGUUAAGCGGACUACCACCUGAAAUCUUAUUGAAGGACUGUGCGUGGCUCAGGCUGACUGAUGGUACGUUGAGUAAUGUCCUCCUUCUUGUUAAUUCUCA